GAUGAAGAACGCAGCGAAAUGCGAUAAGUAAUGUGAAUUGCAGAAUUCAGUGAAUCAUCGAAUCUUUGAACGCACAUUGCGCCCCUUGGUAUUCCGGGGGGCAUGCCUGUUCGGGCGUCAUUACAACCCUCAAGCUCUGCUUGGUCUUGGGCGUCACCGGUCCCCGGUGUGCCUUAAAAUCAGUGGCGGCGCCAUCUGGCUCUAAGCGUAGUACAUACUCUCGCUACAGACGUCCGGUGGAUGCUGGCCAGCAACCCCCAAUUUAUCAAGGUUGACCUCGGAUCAGGUAGGGAUACCCGCUGAACUUAAGCAUAUCAAUAAGCGGAGGA
rnacentral:misc_RNA from 1 species